ACAGGUGCCUGCAGAAACAUUUCCAUUUGAAUGUACACAAUGCGAAAAGAAAGACUGCACAUGCUAAGACAACUAAUAUAUCAUACUUAAUAUUUAUUUUUGUAUUUCUUAUAUAAUGCCAAUUGCAGAUCGAUGAAUUUUUAAAGUAUUUAACUUUUAAGAUGCUUCCUUUAGGUGAUUUACAUUUUGUUCAGUGCAUUCACAGCUUCUAUCGCAUGUUUUCUGCCCACGUUUGCAUCUUUUUAUCUCCGCUUGCCUACGAAUUCAUUAUCGCACGGAUACAAUUUUCAGUUUCACCGCAUUUUUCCGUAGUCUAUUUUAUAAUUUUAGCAACCAUUUCCAACAGCAUUUUCGUGUGUUUAUUUUGCUUACACGUCGGUGUGUGCAACUUAGCGGUUGAGGGUGAGUGUUCGUGUUAAUUGGUUUUCAAAAUAACAUUUACAUGCUUGAAAUGCAUUUUGAUUAACUGGCGCUGAAACUUACAAAGUUUAUGGAAAUCGCUUGCCGUUUUUGGGUUCCCCGUUAACUGAUUUAUGAUCGAGAAAAGUGAUUAGCUUUGUUAUUAAAACACCAAUUGGGUCACAGCAAUUUCCUGUAUCAACAUGAAAAAAUGGCACAAUAUUGCUCAUACGCCACGUUGCCAAGCCGUUUCCAGAAAAUGUGCAAUGGUCUUUUCGUAGAGGGAAGUGAUUGAAGAUGGUUCAGCACAUACACAUAAAUCCCAACCCCACCGGCCCUCCCCCAUAAAAGUGCUAUAAACCCCCAAAUGUCAAAGUUGAAUGCACAAUAUGAAUGUCGAUGUGGGCCAGGGAAAUGCCAGAAUAUAGCAAACGCAAAUGAAAUUGAAAUCGAAGUGGAAAUGCGAAUGGGAAUAUGAAUUGGAAUGAAAAUGGAACUGGAAGUGGAAGUGGCUAUGAAAAUGUGAGUCAUUUGGCUCACUUGUCCGUCCAGUGCAACGACCAACAUAUGCUGACCAUUAGCUUUGCCGUUGCAUAAAAGCUACCCUCUGGCUCUUAUUUUUCUGUUUCCCGAUUCUGUUUCUGCGUUCCUCCUGCAAUGGGCGAAACAUGAAAGCGAAAUUUCUGGCACAUAUUUCACAAACACCGACUGCAGACAACGCGUCGCAAGUAGCGAUGAAUCAUUUGCCCUCUAUAUACUGGUAUACAGCCAAUUCACCACCCUCACACAGCUGCACUUUGGCGAAAGCUCUCUCUCUCUUUUGCUCACCGUUCCAUUCCACGGCGUUUCACACACGCACAUGCACACACACACAAACACAUACGGACAGGCAGAGCGAAUCCUUGUAGCAUGUAUUUCAAGUUCACUGUCAAGGUCACCUACUACAGUCAUGCGCUGCAAAAAGGGGAAGGGUAAGGGAAAGGGCGUUUGUUGCAGCAGCAGCAACAGCAGCAGCAAAAUCGACUGAACCAGCACCUACCUACACAGUGCUGGCGAAAUGUUGCCCUCCCACUCUGUGUUCUCUGUAUUUUCUCCCCAAAGUAUACACAAUCUAUAAUAGAUGCGCUCUAAGCUAGGUCCGCACAGCAAGUACUAUAAAGAAAAAUAUAUUCUCGCAGGGGAUAUAAAUACGUCUCUUCAUUUAAAUCGGACUUACAGGCGAGUAACUGAUUUCGGGCACUACUGGGCACAGCUUGGUAUAUUUUUGGUAGAAAAUGAUAUUUUCAUCUAAUUUGGUCAUAAAUUACGUAUACUUGAUAGGAAAUGUAUUUCUGGUUUUGUUAUAUUAGAAAACAAAAAUUAUAACAGAAGUUUCUUGAGCUUAGUAGAUUUUAAAAUCAAAAGUCUCUAUCUUAGGAGACAGAAUAUUUUUUUGAACCUUUAAAUGAAUGAAUAUAAGAGAAUUUCUCAAUGAAUUUUGAAUGUUUUCUUUUUUUGAAUGUUUUCUUUAUCAUUAAAAGUACUCGAGAAGUACCUACAUCCGAAACAAAAACAUGGUGAUUUCAAGUCCAAUAGGCAUUCUAUGUUAUCUGACAGAUAACAACAUUUCCUGGGACUCUUUAUAUUUGUAGACCUUUUCCGAUUUUCUUUGCAAAUUUCUAUUCCUAACUAAAUUCACUCGUUAGCUGUAAUGCAAUUUUGUUCAUUUCCCCACAGUGCCAGCGAGAGAAAAGUUUCCUUCGCUUGCGAAUAGCAAAAGUGGGCGCAAACAGUUGGUGGUGACUGUGCCUGUGGAAGUGCAAGCCAUGGCUGUGUGAGUAUCGCGCGAGCAGUUAUAUAUUUGUAUAUGGGGUAUAUACCAGUAUGUGCCACUACAUAAGCUUCGGUGUGCGCCAGUGCAGUCGCAUGUGUGUAUUUGUAUCUGUAUCUGUAUCUGCAUUGGUAUAUGUAUCCGUAUCUGAGUACCCUUUAAAACGGCGCGGUGCGCAUGACAUAAGAAAUAAGAAAACGGCGCACGAGAUAGUAAGUUAUGAAAGUCCCCAGUCCGACAUGCACUAACAUCUGUUGCAUAUAGCCGAUGAUAUAGAUACAUUUAUGUACAUGCAUCGCAGGAAUACAUACAUUUACCUGAAAUUGUGGGAAUGCGACCGUUACAAAGUGCCUAGCUAUGCAAGAGUUGCACUUGGCACAUUUAAUUUAAUUAAACAAUUAAACAAACAAAGUUCUCUUGGUCUCUCUCGGAACCAACACAUGCACCAGCGCCCCCAAACAAAUUCAAUUAAGAAUUUAAAAUCGAAAUGCCAGCAAUGUUUGUGCUACUAGAAAGAAAGAGACUAGAAAAGCUAAGCGAAAGAGAAGGCUGUAGCAGGCGAGAAAGAGACGCAACCACACUCCUCGUGGGGAUGCAGAUUUUGGGGGCUGGCUUAGCCGGUGGAAAAUUGCAGCAGACGCACAUUUGUCCAUCGAAAUCGAAAUCGCAUGACCAAGCAUCGUGCACAAUGCACUUAUGUACAUACAUAUGUAUGUACAUAGGUAUUAGCAGGUCCCACCUACGUCAGAUAUAUGACAGCAAAUUUCCGUGCACUUAGCAGGGCCAGUAAGCCAAGUAAUUAUUGUAUUUCCCUCCUAUCACUACGAGCAUUUUGUGUUGCAAGCGGCAGUUAGUCAAUAAAUGCGCUAAUUAUAUACAUUUCGCUGCCCAGGCCCAGAACACGAACCGAAAAGCCCAGCAGAUACACAGCGCAAUCGGUGCACAUACAGUGGGCGCCCUUGGGAAGGAACUGUUACAAAAAACGAUUUGGUGAGCAAUGCUAAAAUGAUGUUUAGUAAAUACCCUUUGAAUCAUUUUGCGAGUGCACCAACUGAAAAAGCUAGCAGCUAAUAGCUUUACUUUGUUAAGCCCUUUCACAUCAUUCGAGCGCCAAUAAUGUAAUCUAGUUGGAAAUUAUAGAGAGCUGAAAAAUUCCUAUUAGAAGUCAUAAAUCUAAACUCCCUAAAGAUCACUAUUUUGUGAGGACCACCUCUAUCGGGUGACCACUGUACCACUGUGGCAGUAAACGAGGCGCGUCAGGGCAGACUGCACAACUUAAACUGCAAGUACAUGCCAAGAAUGGGAAAAGGGAAGCCGUUGUGGGGAGGGGAGGGGUAGGGCUGCAGAGGGAGACGGCGAUGGAGAGGGCGAGCGAGAGCGAAAGGGGAUCAGAUGAGGAAUACCUGCCCAUGUGUGUGUUACUGCGAGAGAGCUGCUUACUUGCACUUACACUACCACCACCUCAGGUUGCGCUCUCUCCCCGCUUUAUGACAUAACAUUCUUGAACUUGAGCUGAGCUCGCCAGAGUUUCCUUUUAGCUUUCAAAUGCAAUGUACAUAUACACAUGCGAGUACAUCUGUGUUUUUUUGUUGCUCUGGCAGUGGGACGCCCAGCUCCUUUCAAUACAUAUGUACAUACAUACAUAUGUGUAUGUUGCUUUCUUCUGGGCCCCAUUCUUCACGUUUUCUCCCACACUUUGACCACUUCGUUUCUUCUCUCUUCGCGUCGGAAGCUUUCGGACUUUUUAGCAGCCGCGACGACGACGGCUCUGUCAUUUUCUGCUGUGCUGCGCGUUGGCAUUGAAACGGCGGCAGGCGAACUGCCAACAACGCUCCAUUCCCUGAAAACCCCCAAUCGGAAGCAGAAGAAUUCUAAAAACACAACAAAAUGUACUGCACCUCCAAAAAGAGCCAACAAACAAUCCCUCCAUUAUUCGUAACAAUUUAGACACGCAAAUGACAUCAACAGCGAAAUUGAAUCAGUCAAAAACCAGACCAAUCAAAAUGGAAAAGCAAACACAAUGCAAAAUAAUUGGAAAUUAAUUGUGCUCAAUUCUACGUGAAGUGCCGCCUGUCAUAUCAUAAAAAAAAUCGAAGAUAAACACACGAAACGGUAAUUACUCCAAACAUAAGUGCAUUCUAUGGUGUGAUCGCAAAAACUCGGAAAUAAAAAAACGAAAUGGAUCUGAGAUUGCAAGCGCAUUUCACAACAAUUUUAAAUACGUGCCCCAAAACAAGUGAUAUUUUACACAAAGAUGCAACAAUUAAAAACCAAUUGGAAAAAGUCAGUGAAACUAUAAAAGUACAUAAAUGAAUAAGAUAUCAAAUGGGAUCAUAAAAGGUGAGCAUUGUUUUAGAAAAUAAUUGAAAAUGACAUCUACUUUUUAAGAUUGUCGAUUUCGUCAGCCAGCACCUAAUGAUUUUUCACCUGCUUUAAAUAUGCAUAUGCACACGAAAUAUUUGUCGAUGUAUUGAGUAAUUAUCCUUUUACAUUAGUAUCUAAAGUUCCAAGUAAUCAAAGCAGCCAGUUUAAAAAGUCCUUAUACUCAAAUUCCUUGCUCGAGCUUUGAAAGCUCCGUGGAGCUUUGCGCUAGGAUCAAGGGAUGAGGAUCUCACAACCCCCGAACCCUUGAAAUUGUUGUUCAGCCGAAUUGUUUUGUUUUGCUUUGGCUAGCAAAAGCGUCGCAAUAAAAACAGGAAUCCGCAAAAAGCAAAAGUGAGUUGCAAACACAGAUAAAAGUGCGCAGAUACAGAUACAUUUUAGGGAUGAGAUAUGAGGGGAGGAGUAGAAUAAUGAAUGAAAGAACGGUGGAGAGGGUGAGGGAGAGUGGAGCAUUUUGCAAGAGAGAGCCAAGCCAGUUUGAAGGCCAUUGCGAUGAGAAUCACAUGUGCUUUUCGGGUUCGGGUUCGGGUUCUCGAGAGGGGCAGUAUGGGGCAGUAGGGCAAAAGUGGAAGACAAGACUGCUCGAAAGCAGGCCCAAGAAACAGGAACAGGAAGAAUCGAAAAAACUUGACGAAACAGUACGCUGAAGCGAGAGUGAGAGAAAAGAGAGAGUGUUUUUCUCAGUAGAUAGAAACUCUGUCGCCGUCGACGGCGACGCUGGCAGAGACUGCGCUGCGGCAGAGGCGAGAACUUUCCAUGGCAGACAUGGCGACAUUGAACAGCGGCACCUUCAACCGAUCGCAUUUGUUGCCUGUGAACCCAAGCCAAUAAAUAAUUCAUAAAAAUAAUACAAGCCCUCCAUAAACAAGUUAACGAAAUUAAAUUCGCCUACGGAUUAAGUUUGUUUCUUGACCAAAAAGUGACGCAUCAAUAUCCUGGCGGAAAAUCGAUCCUUCUGCCCUCAGAAAAUCCGAACAAAGUGCAUGUUGGAAAAACAAAAUGUAUUGGCAAACACAGACACAAAAUGAAAUGUGGCAGAAAACAACAGAAUGGUAGCGAGCUGCGUCAGCAUGGAAAUUUAAUUAGCGACAGUUCAGUUCAGCUGAGCGGCGAUAAGUCGAAAGGAUUGGAUGGCCCACUGUACAACGCCCACUGACCCGCCGCCUGCAGCCACCCACCACCACCACCACCCACUGGGCCACCCGAGCGGGCCAGAGGGGGUAAAAGGAGAUUUCGUUGAUUUUUGCAUGACGACAGCAAAAAGCGAAAAGGCGGAACAACAAUCGAAAUGCAACUGCACGGGAGUGUGUGGGUGCGCGAGCGAGGCAGCCUAUCUGAACCAGACAUGCGCUCUCGCUCUCAGCGACUUGAACUUGAAAACUUUUUACUGCCGGCAAAACGAGAGAGAGCGGAAGAGAGAGAGAGACCGCGGAGCAGGUAUGUGUGAGUGUUCUCCAUUGAUUGAGUUAAACAAAAACAAAGUCAGAGCAGAGCGCAAGCUUCGCUCCCGCAGCUUUUGCUUUUCGCGGGAGUGCUGGAAAGCUUUUGCGUGGGCGGCUUAAGGCAGCGCAGUCGACGUCGCUGCCGGCGUCGGCCAACUGUUAGCUGUUUUGUUGUAGGCACAUACUGUUGCAUACUUAAGGGGAUAGGAGGCGAAGUGAAAAGCGGAAAAAGGGGAAACGGUAGGCGGUAGGCAGUGGGCAGUGGGCAGUGGGGCGGGGGCGUGACCUCCACCUGUGCGAGCCCAGCUGCAGCUUCCCCGUUGGCCAAGUUGGCCAAGUUUAUUCGGUGACGGGCGGGCGACCGAUGAGGUCAGCAUCACGCAUACGCCUAGUUAUCCCCCGUGUGCCCAGUAUCCUGUUCGCUGUUAUUUUCAGUUUGUUCGUUCGUUCGUUUGUGUGUGUCGCCGUGUGCGGUUCGUUCCAAGUUCAUUUUAAAGGCGCGUCGCCCUAAUGGCGAAAUCAGGUGUGGAGAAUUGAUUAGCACACAGCCCGAAAAUGGGAGAAAAAUACAAACAAUAUGGUCGCUGUCGCUUUGUUGUGUGUACUUACAUAAAACUCAAGUCAAGUGACGCACGCCAGCAUAUGGCAAUUAAAUUUGAAUAAUUAACCAGCUGAGAACGACACGAACGAAGCUCUUUUCCGCACACGGACACACAAAUACUCACUCGUAGCUGCCAUAUGCAACACUCUUUGUUGUUGUUGUUGUUGUUAUCCUGCACCUUGACCUUUCCACACCCAUGCAGCAGUACGCGUGGGCAGCAGCAGGAUAUUGGAAACACUCGCCCCAUUUCGGGGGAUCGGGGAUAUAACGUAUAUAUGUAUGUAUGUACAUAUGUACAAGUACACUCGGCUAUAUAGAGCAACCCACAAGUCGGCUGGCAGCUGUUUGAAGCCGAAACCAAGGAAACGAGAUGCACGGCAAAAACACUUUGGUUAUCACACGGAAAAGAGGUCCACUUGGACCAGCGGAAAACUUCACAGAUGGCACAAGUGCAAUAAAUUAAAUAUCGAGACAAAUUCAGGAAAUAACACCGUUCAAAGAUUGAAGAGGGAUAUAAAUGGGAUAUAAAACAGGUAAAGAAUUCAUGUUUAGUACCGUGGUUUCUUGAUUUGUGGGUGGACUUUCAGAAAAUCACAAGACAGGCAAAUUCAAAAUAAAUAUGGAAACGAAAUUUCGAAUGCAAUUUGCUGAAUUUUAAUGAGGUUUCAAAAUAUACGGCAUCUUUUUGUUUCUAAUGCACUCAGAGUGGCUUUGCAUUUAGUUGUGAAAUUAAAACAAAUGUGUAAGAUGGUUUAGCUCGCGUUCAACUGAAAUUAUAAAUUCAAAAACAAGCGAUUUGAUUCGAUGCAUACAAUAGAAUUAAAAUCAAUACAAGUAAAUUUUUACUUAAUAAUCGCAUUGUGAAAUAAAAGUAAAAACCGAAAUGAGUGAUUUAUGAAGUGAAGAAAUUGUAAAACGUGUAUUAUAAAAGUGCAGCUAAAUGAAUCUAACUCUUGCAAAAACUUUGCCUGCAGCUUGGUGAAAAGCGGGAAAAACGGUUUGUGUCUCUGCUGAGCUUUUCGCGAAAAGCGAAUUUUCCAUAUGCAACUGCCAUUGGGAUACACCCUGUGCUCGCUUUGAAUGAAAUGCAAGCAAGUGAACACAGCUGGUGGUAUCCAGUGGCCGUUUGGCGUCCUUGCUGCUCCAGAAACUCCAAGGAUAACGAGAACGCCCCCGAGAAUGUGCCACGAACUUCAUUGGAGGGUAAGUGCGUCUUCAGAUUCUACGUCUACCAGUUUCCUGCUCAGGAUAAUACCAUUUGUUUUGCAAGUCCAAUUUAUCAAUGAUUUUCAUUUCGUUUACACGUUUAUUACAUUUCGUUACGAACCUAAUUUUGCCAUACUAAAAUGAUGUUCUCUUAGCCAUAAGCUUCAGUUCGAUUCAACAAAGUAUUCAUUUCUCCCCAAAAAAAAAUAACCAAAAAACAAUUAAUGAAACAGUGAAAAGAGAUAAAUUGGAAUUUGAAUAAAAUAAUCUUAAGACUUAAGAAUCGUUUAAGAAACUAAUCAGUGAGAAGACAAAAAUUGCAUAUGAUUAUACUCAGCAUUUUCUUGUUACACAUUUCUCUGAAUAAUUAUAAUUUCGCUUUUCGUUUGCCUUUGGUUUUUCCGCUUGCUCCGAUUUUCUUUUUGAUUUAAAUGUACAUAUCUUAUCUACUAUCCACUAUCCACUAUCCACACACAUCGGCAGAUUGGGGAUUUGGGGCUUUGAGGUGCGAUUAUGGGCGCAUCGAAUGCAACGCUCUGAAAACUCUUGAAAUCAUUAAUUAUGAGCCGCACAAAUAGCAAACAGUCCGUAGUAAUGAGUGAAAUUCGCAGCGAUCUGAAAUCUGAUUUAGAAAUCGCCGACUGGCUGGCACAAACAAUUAAAAAAGAUGUUCAUGCUGCAAAUUGAUUUUGUUUGUUUGUGAUUAAUAUAACUAUAUUUAUUUUCGACCGAUUUUCACCCAAUCUUCUGCAUCUGUUUUCGCGGUUUUCACCCAGUCGCGUGUGCACUUGUGCUGCAAAACGAAAGCAAAGCCAUUUGGCAUUUUCUAUUUUCGUUUCGCUUCGUCUUUUCGGCCCACACCACUGCCAACACCACCUACCACCAACUACCGAAAUGCGCUGCGAAUUGAAUUUGGCCAAGAUUCUGAGUGUUCUUGUUCUUGGUCCAAACGGCAAACUGCAGCUGUGCAUAGACAAUAGCAAAAGCAAAUGCAAAGGCAAUGGCAAAGGCAACUUGGUGACAUUAUUUCGACAUUUGCCUGCUAGCCAAUGCAGCCACUUUUGUCACUUUUGCAUUUCAAAUGACCGUCAAUUAUCCUUUGUCGACACUCCCCUUUGUCUUUCCUCCUUCUUUUCUCCCUUGAGGUCAAGGAAAGCGAAAUUGAUUUUCCGCCCGAGCGAAUUCUCCCCCCCUCUCUCCUACAUACAUAGUAUACUAGUAUAUAGUGUAUAGUAGAGAUACGUGUGCAUUUAAGAGUCUCUGUUUUUCUGCUCGGUCUUAUGCAAUCGCUGGGUGACAGAAGUGCAAUGAUUUUUUCAGUCAACUCACAGAAUGAAAUCAAUUUCUACCCUCUGGACUGGCCAAACAAUUAUCUGCAGGGUAAUUAAAGCCACAUUUAUUGCCACACUGUGCAUUUUGUUCGCCUUUCGGUGACCUCAUGACCAGUUUUAUGACGAGAUUAGCUGGGAUUGAAGUGCUUACAUAUAAAAUGCCGUCGAAUUCAAUAAAAACUCGCACUAAAAUUAUAGACAAUGGCCAAGCUGAGCGCUGUGGCUUACGCAAUCGAGGGAUAUAGAAAUCAAGCUCUUGAUUUAAUACAUACAUCAUCGGAAAUAACAAGUUUAUGGUCAGCAAAUUAAAUCAUUAAUCCAGGGGGACAAUUAUAGUUGAAUACGUUUUUGAGCCAUCACACUGAUUCGUUCGUAAAAAAACAGUGGUUUACCUUUCAUUGGUAAAAGAUUUUCAAGACAAAAGCUGCUUCUAACCUUCUGAGCUUUUUAACCAUUUUGAAUAUUUAUAAAAGAUUUUAUACUAUAAGCAAAAGAUUUUGCUGAAAUCGAAAGAUUCUAUAAUCUAUCUUCAUUCACCAAAUGAUUGAAUAGACAUUUUGCAUUAAUAACUAAAAUUCUUGCAUUGCAAUUUUUAAACUUCUUUGUACCUGUAUUCUUAUUUCAAACGUGAAACUUAUUUAUUGACUAUACAUUUUGAUCGGUAGAAUUGUAUUUUAAUAUUUUCCCAUCCAUCCAGCUGCAUAAAAUGGCCAAGCUUGUGAAUUUCGUUGUGGGAUCCAACAGAUAGAUUAAAUGCAUAGGGUUUGUGUGCACUGUGCACUGUGGGCUGUCGGCGCACUUGAAAUCAUUUAUCGCCCAAGAUCGUGUGCCUGCAGCUCUCGUUUUAUCGAACUAAUAUUGUAAUGACAGCACGGGCACUAAUCACACGAAAUGCUUCAGGUCGUGCAUGACGAGAUUAACAUUAACAAUUGCGAUAGCAGCUGUUGGCCUCAGGCGAAGCAUUCGCCGCGGAAAAGCGGAAUUUUCAAUUUAAGGUUGACCUUAGAGCAAAAUUUGAUCGAUAAUUUCGCAUAAUUGUGGAAUCUCUCUUGCAAACAAAAAAAAAUUCGAAAAACUAAAAAAACUGUGACACAUGCACACGGACACGCACGCACACAGCGAAACAUCACCUUGAACAUUAAACUGCAACUGUGCGAGCGAGACGAAGGCAGCUAGCUAGUGCGAAAGAGAAGGCCAA